rnacentral:rRNA from 1 species
UAAGUUGCAGGGUAUAGACCCGAAACCCGGUGAUCUAGCCAUGGGCAGGUUGAAGGUUGGGUAACACUAACUGGAGGACCGAACCGACUAAUGUUGAAAAAUUAGCGGAUGACUUGUGGCUGGGGGUGAAAGGCCAAUCAAACCGGGAGAUAGCUGGUUCUCCCCGAAAGCUAUUUAGGUAGCGCCUCGUGAAUUCAUCUCCGGGGGUAGAGCACUGUUUCGGCAAGGGGGUCAUCCCGACUUACCAACCCGAUGCAAACUGCGAAUACCGGAGAAUGUUAUCACGGGAGACACACGGCGGGUGCUAACGUCCGUCGUGAAGAGGGAAACAACCCAGACCGCCAGCUAAGGUCCCAAAGUCAUGGUUAAGUGGGAAACGAUGUGGGAAGGCCCAGACAGCCAGGAUGUUGGCUUAGAAGCAGCCAUCAUUUAAAGAAAGCGUAAUAGCUCACUGGUCGAGUCGGCCUGCGCGGAAGAUGUAACGGGGCUAAACCAUGCACCGAAGCUGCGGCAGCGACACUAUGUGUUGUUGGGUAGGGGAGCGUUCUGUAAGCCUGUGAAGGUGGCCUGUGAGGGUUGCUGGAGGUAUCAGAAGUGCGAAUGCUGACAUAAGUAACGAUAAAGCGGGUGAAAAGCCCGCUCGCCGGAAGACCAAGGGUUCCUGUCCAACGUUAAUCGGGGCAGGGUGAGUCGACCCCUAAGGCGAGGCCGAAAGGCGUAGUCGAUGGGAAACAGGUUAAUAUUCCUGUACUUGGUGUUACUGCGAAGGGGGGACGGAGAAGGCUAUGUUGGCCGGGCGACGGUUGUCCCGGUUUAAGCGUGUAGGCUGGUUUUCCAGGCAAAUCCGGAAAACCAAGGCUGAGGCGUGAUGACGAGGCACUACGGUGCUGAAGUGACAAAUGCCCUGCUUCCAGGAAAAGCCUCUAAGCAUCAGGUAACAUCAAAUCGUACCCCAAACCGACACAGGUGGUCAGGUAGAGAAUACCAAGGCGCUUGAGAGAACUCGGGUGAAGGAACUAGGCAAAAUGGUGCCGUAACUUCGGGAGAAGGCACGCUGAUAUGUAGGUGAAGCGACUUGCUCGUGGAGCUGAAAUCAGUCGAAGAUACCAGCUGGCUGCAACUGUUUAUUAAAAACACAGCACUGUGCAAACACGAAAGUGGACGUAUACGGUGUGACGCCUGCCCGGUGCCGGAAGGUUAAUUGAUGGGGUUAGCGGUAACGCGAAGCUCUUGAUCGAAGCCCCGGUAAACGGCGGCCGUAACUAUAACGGUCCUAAGGUAGCGAAAUUCCUUGUCGGGUAAGUUCCGACCUGCACGAAUGGCGUAAUGAUGGCCAGGCUGUCUCCACCCGAGACUCAGUGAAAUUGAACUCGCUGUGAAGAUGCAGUGUACCCGCGGCAAGACGGAAAGACCCCGUGAACCUUUACUAUAGCUUGACACUGAACAUUGAGCCUUGAUGUGUAGGAUAGGUGGGAGGCUUUGAAGUGUGGACGCCAGUCUGCAUGGAGCCGACCUUGAAAUACCACCCUUUAAUGUUUGAUGUUCUAACGUUGGCCCGUAAUCCGGGUUGCGGACAGUGUCUGGUGGGUAGUUUGACUGGGGCGGUCUCCUCCUAAAGAGUAACGGAGGAGCACGAAGGUUGGCUAAUCCUGGUCGGACAUCAGGAGGUUAGUGCAAUGGCAUAAGCCAGCUUGACUGCGAGCGUGACGGCGCGAGCAGGUGCGAAAGCAGGUCAUAGUGAUCCGGUGGUUCUGAAUGGAAGGGCCAUCGCUCAACGGAUAAAAGGUACUCCGGGGAUAACAGGCUGAUACCGCCCAAGAGUUCAUAUCGACGGCGGUGUUUGGCACCUCGAUGUCGGCUCAUCACAUCCUGGGGCUGAAGUAGGUCCCAAGGGUAUGGCUGUUCGCCAUUUAAAGUGGUACGCGAGCUGGGUUUAGAACGUCGUGAGACAGUUCGGUCCCUAUCUGCCGUGGGCGCUGGAGAACUGAGGGGGGCUGCUCCUAGUACGAGAGGACCGGAGUGGACGCAUCACUGGUGUUCGGGUUGUCAUGCCAAUGGCACUGCCCGGUAGCUAAAUGCGGAAGAGAUAAGUGCUGAAAGCAUCUAAGCACGAAACUUGCCCCGAGAUGAGUUCUCCCUGAGACUUAGAGUCUCCUGAAGGAACGUUGAAGACGACGACGUUGAUAGGCCGGGUGUGUAAGCGCAGCGAUGCGUUGAGCUAACCGGUACUAAUGAACCGUGAGGCUUAACCUU